ACACUGUCAUUAGCUACACACUGCUGUGAGAACACUGUGUCAUUAGCUACACACUACAGUGAGAACACUGUCAUUAGCUACACACUGCAGUGAGAACACUGUCAUUAGCUACGCACUGCUGUGAGAACACUGUGUCAUUAACUACACACUGCAGUGAGAACACUGUGUCAUUAGCUACGCACUGCUGUGAGAACACUGUGUCAUUAACUACACACUGCAGUGAGAACACUGUGUCAUUAGCUACACACUGCUGUGAGAACACUGUGUCAUUAGCUACACACUGCGGUGAGAACACUGUCAUUAUCUACACACUGGGUUACCAUGUUUUGUGUUUGUAUGUGUCAUAUCAAUAAAAUAACAGAAUUACGGCUACUUUGAACCAACUUGAAUAGUUUGUUGCUUAACUCAAAUAAUGUUAAACAAAAAAUAUGACUACAAAUUGAUACAUUUAUGCUAUAUUUAAUUUAUAAAUGUGUAUUUUCCAAUUCAAACACAUUAUAAAUCAAAUAUUGCAUUAAUGUAUCAUUGAGUGGCCAUACAAUCGAAUAGCCAAGUACUUUUCUUCGUAUAUGGGAAGAUACGUUUUUGUUGUACUGCUGUAUCAACAGCAAGCUCGUGUGACAGACAAUGGUAAGUUACAGAGCACCACAUUAAUGUUAUUAUCCCCUACAGAUAGGAUUAAUAUGUGUUUAUGAUUUUAAGAUGAAUAUUAACACGUAAUUUAGCCUAUUUUUAAAAUGUUUCAUUUCCGCUAUUUUCAUGAGGGACUCGUGGUGGAUCCCCUUUAUAUACAGAAUUCAUCAGAGAGAAAUGUUCUUUCUCUCAACAUGCAAGUUACUUUUCCAUUAAGGUGUUCUCCACUUGCCUCUGAUUGGUUCAGAUGAAUCACAUGGGGUAUCCGGGCAGUGCAGGUCACAUUUUAUUGCCAUGUUGGAUUUUCUAUUGUUUUCUUUUCAAAUCUCUGCUUUGGUGAAACUAGAUGCUACACACUGCUCUUUUGUUGGAGGAAUGAUGUCAUAAUCGCAAUAAUGCAGGCUGCCGGUCACAUUGGGCAAAAGUUAAAUGAUGUUCAUCUGAGUAUUUCACUUGUUACAUUAUAUUUUAGAUUUGAUUAAAUUUAUCACAAUAAUGGAUUGUUCCAUUAUGCUCUGGCCCUAUGCUUGUUGCCAAGAGCUUAUCAUUCAGAUUCAUAUUUGACACAUAAUUGUUCAGCAUGAAUACAGUUUUUCAAAGCUGCAUUCACUAUCUCACUCUGUCCUCACUGCACAGUUCCUGUAUCAAAACCCCAUGUCAGUGUCACUCGUGAUGAAUUCCCCUGCACUCUACUGUGUGCUGUGGAGAGAGGGACUGGAGCACCCCUGUCCUGGUACAGAGAACGGUGAGGACAAGUCCUAUGGUAGCUACCCUGUAUGCUGUGCCCCACAUCUGGAUAUGACUCAGACUGUGGAGAGGAGCGGUGCAUACACCUGAGAAACGAAGAACUCAGUCAGCAGAGAGACAUCAGACCCUCUCUCUGUGGGGGCCCACUGCACAGUUGGAGCUGCGGGUAUCUGGCAGACCGAGGGUCUAAAAUGUGGAGCCUGUGCUUGGUGCUGAUCGUGAUGCUGUGCAGUCGCCUGGUUUGAGGCUGCUGAGUGAGAAUUAACUUUGACCUCUGGAUGAGUGGGUGGGUAUGAGAGUCCCAUGUUCAUUGUAUCCUGCUGCAGCCCCAACAGCUACCCUGCCCCAUAAAGACAUGCAGCAUAACUGCCCCAGUAUAACUGCCCCAUGAAGACAUGCAGCAUAACUGCCCCAUAAAGACAUGCAGCAUAACUGCCCCAUGAAGACAUGCAGCAUAACUGCCCCAUAAAGUCAUGCAGCAUAACUGCCCCAUACAGACAUGCAGCAUAACUGCCCCAUAAAGACAUGCAGCAUAACUGCCUCAUAAAGACAUGCAGCAUAACUGCCCCAUGAAGACAUGCAGUAUAACUGCCCCAUAAAGACAUGCAGCAUAACUGCCCCAUAAAGACAUGCAGUAUAACUGCCCCAUAAAGACAUGCAGCAUAACUGCCCCAUAUAGACAUGCAGCAUAACUGCCCCAUAUAGACAUGCAGUAUAACUGCCCCAUAAAGACAUGCAGCAUAACUGCCCCAUAAAGACAUGCAGUAUAACUGCCCCAUGAAGACAUGCAGCAUAACUGCCCCAUGAAGACAUGCAGCAUAACUGCCCCAUAAAGACAUGCAGUAUAACUGCCCCAUAAAGACAUGUUCUCUCUGUCCCAGUCAUCCUCUGUCUCAGGCUGUUCUCCCAGUCCCAGUCAUGAACUGAAACUAAUUGUUAAUAGUUUUUAAUCAUGCAGCUUUAAUGUCUUCCCCGCUUUAUCUAAUUGCUGUGCAUACCAUGAAGAAUAAAUGUUACACAAUAAUGUCUCAAUAUGUUUAAUCUGUCAGAUGAACUAAUGCUUUUAUUUACUGUGAUUUAUGGAAAAUGGUAACUUAAGAAAGAGGCUCCAUUUAUAAUAGAUGAAUUUACAGUGAUAGGUGUGAAGUUUAAAUCCACACCAAAACAAA